rnacentral:lncRNA from 1 species
GACGCGAGUUCGAUACCCCUCAAUGCUCUCUGGGUCUCUGAGCCUGUUGCACAGGGUUUGUCUAGUACGAUUUACAUUUCUCGUGUAGUUUGCAGGCUAUUACACAGUGGGGGUUACCCAGUGCGCACAGAAUACUCACCUGAAGGACAGAGACUGUAGCGACUACGGGUUUUCCUGGUUUUCCAAAAAAAUGAAGAAGCUGUAAUUGGAUGUUCAGUAGCAGCCAUAACAAAAAAGAAAGGUCAAAAGUAUAUAAUGUAUAAUCUCAGACUUGAAAAGGCAAGUUUAGUUGUUAUUAUACC